UUAUGGCGUCAGGAUGAACGCUAGCGGCAGGCUAACACAUGCAAGUCGAGGGGCAUCGGGAGUAGCAAUACUUGCCGGCGACCGGCGCAAGGGUGCGUAACGCGUGAGCAACAUGCCCGUAUCAGGGGGAUAAUCCAUGGAAACGUGGUCUAAUACCCCAUAGUAAUUAUGUAAGGCAUCUUAUAUAAUUUAAAGCUUUGGUGGAUACGGAUUGGCUCGCGUGACAUUAGCUAGAUGGUAAGGUAACGGCUUACCAUGGCUACGAUGUCUAGGGGUUCUGAGAGGAAGGUCCCCCACACUGGAACUGAGACACGGUCCAGACUCCUACGGGAGGCAGCAGUGAGGAAUAUUGGACAAUGGAUGGAAAUCUGAUCCAGCCAUGCCGCGUGCCAGGAAGACGGCCCUAUGGGUUGUAAACUGCUUUUGUAUGGGAGCAAUAAGGGCUACGCGUAGUCCGAUGAGAGUACCAUACGAAUAAGCACCGGCUAACUCCGUGCCAGCCGCCGC
rnacentral:rRNA from 1 species